rnacentral:rRNA from 1 species
CAAUAGCGUAUAUUAAAGUUGUUGCGGUUAAAAAGCUCGUAGUUGGAUCUCGGCGAGCAGGGGGCGGUUCGAUGUUCGUCGUUACUGCCCCAUUUGCUCGUGUGAUUGGCGGAGGCUGCGGGGUGCUUUUCGUUGAGUGUCCCGUGGUGCCGUCGGGUUUACUUUGAAAAAAUUAGAGUGCUCAAAGCAGGCUUCACACGCUUGAAUAUUCGUGCAUGGAAUAAUGGAAUAGGAACUCGUUUCUAUUUUGUUGGUUUUCGGAAAUUGAGUUAAUGAUUAAUAGGGACAAUUGGGGGCAUUAGUAUUCAGACGACAGAGGUGAAAUUCUUGGACCGUCUGAAGACUAACUACUGCGAAAGCAUUUGCCAAGAGUGUUUUCAUUAA